rnacentral:lncRNA from 1 species
AUCAUGAUUAUAAUAUCAUACUUAUCCUUUUCAUUAUUGCUUCUUCCGCCCUAGUUGUUUUAUUUGCCUCCGUUCUCCUUCUGCCGUUCGUCUUUUCUCCAGAUCUGUUCUCCAUGGUCGCUCAACGUCGCGCGUGGAUGAUACAAUCAUGUAGGUCAGGCGACGAUCUACGCGACGAUGUACUUAUCAAGGGCGGAGGCGUUCUUAGCCGUCGUUCCGGCUUAAUAUUCACAUGUGGCUGGCGUAGCAUAGAUAUGUCCACAGGUUUCGAUCUAAUCUUCUUGUUCUUGAUUAUAUCUACACUUGUUGGUUACAUGACUUCUGUUUCUGUCGUUCCAGACGAUUUGUGGUUACAUGGCGUGUUAUUGCCCUGCUGGUGCGAUCGGAAAGGCGACGAUUUUUGAUUACAGGUCCUGCUAUCGACCAGCUGCUGCGAUCGGAAAGGUGUUUUUUGUGUAUUUAUGCGAUUCUUAUAGUUCGUGUAUUGAAGAGCCGUUGUAAUUUUUGUUGUGUGUAUGAUAUCAUAGAUCUAGCCAUAUCUUCGGAUCUGAAGAUGAGCUAGCCCUCUAGUCAAAGAUCAGGUAUGUCGAGGCGUUCUCUGCCGCUGGAGCCAAGUAUGAUGCGUAGUGACGGGAGCUGGAUAUCGUCGAUUGUGGGUGUAUAAGAUAUGAGGGGGAUGAUGGCGCUGUGUUCGGUGGCCUGGUGUCCUUGUUAGUAUCUUUGUCAUCCGACCUUUGCCAUAUAGGGUGCGCUCGUAUGGCAGGUCACCAAUGAAUAAAAAAACAACCGUUUGUGUUUCAGAGGGAAGAUCGCACGGGGGAUUUGCCCGGGUUCUUUCCUCUGCUGUGUCUCGUGUUCCUUCUCUUCAUUACGCCUAUGCUCCAAACCCAAUCGAUUGGAGGAUGAUACUUCCUCCUACCCAGCUCUAAUUGCCAGGCUUUCAAGGCGCAUGACAAUAAAGGUAACAUCUCAUCCGUUUUAAUACUUCUGUUGGAGACUCUGAGGGACCAGCCAUCUUCCAUUCUGCCAGGUAACCUCGUUAUUUGUCAACUUUGCGCUAUCAGUAUCCAUAUUCCCGAUUCUGUCGUGUAUUUCUCAACCCAAUUACUUCAAAAUGAACACCAAGAAUGUCUUUUCCCUCGGCUGUUAUGACUAACCUGUCGAUCAAGAGCAUCAUAUCCAUAUAUGAAAUCUACCUUUUCUAUUGCGUCUAAUAAGGGCUAAAUGUUCGUAUAUUAUAUUGAACAUUGGAUUAUUUAAUUUCCUUCUGUAUUAUAUAUUGUAUACUUUUUGUAGUUGGUUCGUAGUGUGUAUAUGGUUAGUAGCUUGAUCUCACUUUCUUUGUUUCCAGUCUAUCAGCUCAGUUGCUAGUUAUUAUUGGGGUGAUUUGUUCGUGUUUUUGUGUUGGUACUAAUAUGUCCGGUUCUGUAAUGUUCAUAAUUGUACCUGUGGAAUGAUAUGCAUGGCUUGUGGCGUUUGCUGUAAUGUCGUCGUGUAUUCUGCUUACAAGUUCAGAUUGUUUGCUGUAAUAUUGCGAGUGUAUUCUGCAUCCAAGUUCAGAGAUUGGCGUUGAUGCGCUGGACGACUGUGAUCUUCAAGCUCGGUUAUCUCAUGACAUGGACCAGAGGGAGAUUCUACAAUUUAUUAUUUCUGAUCGUAGUGUUCGGUUUUUGUUUGAAUUAUGAAGCACAGUUGUUUAUUUACGAUUACUCGUGUUUGUGCAUAUACGUUGUGACUGUUUAAAAGCUCCGAUAAUGUGUUUUUUUUUUCUAAAUGGUCAAAUGAUUUCAUGUAUUCGAUCACUGUUUGGAGUGCUUGUUAACUAUGCUAAUGUAAUAGUUAAAUUUUAUUUUUGUUAAAGGGAUAUCUUCGCAAACUAUCAGUUUUUGUGUGGAAUGCUUAUAUUCCUUUGAUUAACAGGUCCUUUCUGUUACUGUAGCACUAUUGCCUUUCCUGAACAUUAAGUUGCAAGACGUUGACGGUGGAACCUUAGUUUAAUUAUUCGAAACAAUGCCGAUAUAGACUUGUAAGCUCAAAAUGGUAGAGCGCUCCAUUCCUUUUUGGUGAUGUGAGAGGUUAGUGGUUCGAAUCCACUCAAGUCUUACUUUUUUUAAUCUCGUGAAUUCUACUCCGUGUCUUUUAACUUGUAACUUAGUUUAUUUUUAGCUUUCAAAAAUGUUUGUUUUUUUUGCAAUUCAAUUGUUUAAUUACAUCCAGCGUUUAUCUGGAAAUUAGAGUGGAAAAAUACGAUUCUUGUUUUUUCGGUGGCUGCUUUUUUCACACUUCAUUGCAACUUCAAUUUACUCUUACCGGAUAGAGUCAGUUUGUUAACUGUGUUUUUUGUUCUGUUCAGUAACUCAUAAUCGAUCCAGAAUUUUUUGGAGACUUUCACCAUUGAAGUGGACGACAUAACGGACCGAAUAUGACGCGGUUGGGCUAUUGGAUAUAAAUUUUUUAUAUCAAGGAGCUCCGUGUAGGAUGCGGCAUAAAUAACACAUAGGGAUGAUGACGAGCUGGGGGUUGAAGGGGGGAGGUAAAUAGGGACUAGAGAAAUAUAGUUGAGAGAUUGAUUGAAAGUUAUCUGCCCGUUUGGGUAAUUAUUAUCAUAAAAGCGGGACCGAUUAUACAACUCAGAUGAUUAUGAUUGAAGGGAUAACCGGGUUGUCGAUGAGCAUCACUAUUGAUGUUAGACCUUGAGACUUAUUGGGGACAUCACCAAGAAUUCCGGGUACUGAGAUUUAAAAUGCCGACUGGUAAUUAAAAACAUGGGGCUAUUAGAUAUUAUACAUGAGAAGGGUGGGUGUUUAUUGGGCAGGUGAUCGGAAUGAAUGAAGAGAAAGUAACCCAACUACUUAUAUCUACAUUCAGAGAAUAGGGUUAUGUGAUGAGGUUUGGAUUGAAAUGAACAACAGCUUUGUAGUCGAGGUAAACAAAUUCAAUACUUGUUAUUUUAUAUUGAAAUGGAAUUCCGGAAAUGAACCGGCUUCCCAAAAACAAGCUAAGCCGACAUGUAGGGCAUAAUUCAACAUCAAGAUCAACUACGUAAGACAUAAAGCUAGCAAAAUUUGGUCUUCUCAAAUCUCAUUGAACAGCUCUUGUUGAUCUUCGGGAUCUUCACAGUAACUCGGGGUCCGAUUGGGUCAUCACAUUUAUUUUUCAGAACGAAUCGAGCGGUAUCUAGACAAGUAAAGCACUGAUUGGUCGUGGACUUGGUUGCACAACUGGCUAAUCCGAAAAGUAUAGUGUCGCCGUUUUGCCUGGUGCAGACCCGUUGCUUGGCUACCAAGCAGCCGAGGAGUUUGUCCCCCGUGGCUGUGGCGAGGUCACCUAUAUCACCACUGAACUUUUUGCUGUUGCAUAACAGAUCAACGCCAUCAACUCAGUCUGCCAGAACAAGUAGUGCACUUGCCAAGAAAGCAAUAUUGACUUCCGAAGUCGUCUUCAUUUUUCUCGACCUAGCUGUUUUGGGUUGUUUAUCGAUUGUGUGACUUCUCUCUGUGGUACGAUUUCAGUUGGAUUAUAUAGAGAGAACAUAGGCGGCUUUUAGAUACUAUGUUUAUCAGACAACUCCAAUGGAGCAAUUAUUCCAGCUCUGUAAAAAAUGUAGCUUUGUUAUUUCUAGCACUAACCACAUGUUUAUGUUGCUUAAUUACUUAUUUAUCCGUAUUGUUUAGGACCUCCUUGUCUUGUUUGAUUACUAUGCUAUGUAAAAAAAACUAUACCCAGUCUUGGAGUUGGUCAGCUUUGACCAGCCGGCCAUGGGCGAUGGCCGUACCUUGUAUUUAGCACUUAGAAGGCAGGAAGGACGUACUAUAGAUAGAGCGAGAGACCAUAGACUUGGGCCUUACGCAUGCAAUAACCAUGAAGAAGGGCCUAAUAGGCCCAGUAUUUUCGCACAAUGUAAAUCAGCGUCUGGCCCGUUCUGUGAAUCAUUGAGAAUUGCAGCAGAGAGGAAAGAUGGAGCAGUUGCGCUCGAAGGUCUUUGUAUUGAAACACUUCUACUGUUUACACUCUGUGACCGUGUGACGUGCUGAGAAUCAGAAGAGAGGAUCGACUUGCUCUGAACUCUGAAGAUGAUAAAAGCGGUGAUGGUGAUGAACACUCAAGGCAAGCCUCGGCUCACGAAAUUCUACGAUUUUAUGGUAAGAAACAGGGGAAGUAAUGUGCUUUGUUCCGUUUCUUGUUUGUUACGAAGAUAGUCUGCCAGCUAGUUGUCUAUAGUUCCGUUUUUCUGACGAUCUCGCUUCCUCAAUCGAAUUCUGGUGCGGACAGCCUGUGGAGAAGCAGCAGGAGAUUAUUCGGACUGUGUUUGGAGGUAAUUUUGGUCCUUCCUCGGCUGUCAGAUCUUGUUAGUGGUGGUUUGGAUCUUUGAUUUAGGAUAUCUGGUGCGUAGUUCUGUGCAGUAGAGCCGAUAAUGUUAGCAAUUUCAUGGAUGCGGAUUCCAUUUUCGGCCCGGUAAUUCCUUGAUUCCGAGUGGUAUUCUUGAACUUCUAAAAUCUUUGCUGCCAGAUUCUUUUUAAAUCUUAUUAGUAACGUUUGUUUUGAUUUCUGCGGCAGGAUAGUCGUCUUGUGUACAAGCACUUCGCAACUCUCUACUUCGUCUUUGUGUUCGAUAGUUCAGAAAACGAGCUUGCCAUGCUUGAUCUCAUCCAAGGUAUGCUCACCAAUCCUGUUUCCGUUCUAUGCUUGGUCAUGAUUUAGGGAUGUUGAAGUGAAGUGCUAUUUGCUGAACCUGAUGCACCCAUGUGCUUUUGGUGUGUUUGAGGUAUAUCGUUUGGACCAAAUGAAACUUUUGUUUAGCAAUUUUAUCUAUUUAUUGUAUUUGAGGUUCUGAUAGUUUUUACUGGCACCCAAAAGGAUCAUGAACAAGGGCAUAUCACUAAUUAUGAACAAAAGUGAUGUUGUUAAUGUCAAGUAAUUUUACUCUGAGUGGGUUGAUAGAGAGGUACUGAGAGAAGGUUAAGUAGUUGAUUGCAAUUUACGGAAAGGGUCGGUCUCUGCAGCUCAAAGCCAAAUGGAGGCAAGCCUUGAUUCCUGGAGUCCAAUGUUUGUGCUAAAGAUGGCCAAUGCUUAAACGUUCUUGAAAAUGUUUUGUCCAUAGCCCUUCUCUAUAUUUGGGCUUCUUUGGAUUCCGAAGUAAAUCUUUUGAAACUGUGUCAGUAUCGCAACUCUUUCCAGUUUUGUAUACCUGUAUGCUUAAUUAGACUUCCAUGCUUGCAGUUUUCGUGGAAACAUUAGACAAAUGCUUCAGAAAUGUGUGUGAGCUUGAUAUAGUGUUCAAUUAUAGCAAGGUACGUGAUAUUACCUGUUUUCAUUCAGUGGAAGUCUUAUUUGUUAGCUUUAAACACUGAUCAGUACAACUGUAUGAUCUACUGGAUCAAUAUUUUGAUAUGAUCAUGAUUUGUAUUUAAGAAAUUGGAUACAAAAGGUUGAAUUGUGUUUAACGUUUGGUCAUCGUGUCAAAGAUGUGCAUCUUUUAGUCUUCGGUGAUAUGAAACUAGCAGCUCCCUUGGUACUCAAUGAUUGAGCUUCAAUUUAUUUUAUUGGCUAGCUGCAUACCAUAUUAGAUGAGAUAAUCUUUGGAGGCCAAGUGCUGGAGACGAGUUCUGCUGAGGUCAUGAAGGUAGUUGAAGAGAUAUCAAGGUGCUUCUCGUUCUCUCUCACAGAGGCAUUAGACUUUGCUGCCUAAUUCUAUUGUUACGUUACCAAAUUAACAAACUUGUGAGUGGUGUAGGCAAGAAUCAGCGGCAAAUUCUAUAGGAUUAGUCACCAAAACAGUUUCAGGCUGGAGGAGGUAGCGCCAGUUUGAGAAGUAUUUGAUGAGGAAAGACUGCAACCUGAUAAUAUUUGAAGACUUUGAUUCCGUUAAUGGGAAGACUGGAGGCAUUAUUAUCAAGCAAGUUAUCAAAAUGAGUUCAUGAGAAACGACUGGACAAACGAAGCAGUUGAGAGUCGGACAUUGUUGAAGUGUCGUUUUGGAGCCUAUUGUACUUGAGUUUUUGUUAGGCUUUUAAGAGGUAUAUGCAUGAUUGAUGACAGUAAUGAUACAUUUAUAAGAAACAAAUGGAGUCACAGGCCAGGUCUUGUUCGUGCCUUGCAAACUUGAAUAAUAUCGAGCAAAGAGCUUAAUUUUAUAGCAUCUUGAAAUGUCUGUAGGUUCCCAACUACGAUUUGAUUGAUUAGUCUCUUUUGUAGACACAUAAUUUGAAUAUUUUACAUAUUUCCCAGCAGAGAGAAAAUUAUAACAAUAGAAAGUUUGACGAUUACAAGGGAAAUUCUAAAGCCGUUUCAUGGGGUCUUCUUGAUGUCCUGAAGAACCACAGUUGCAGCAUUACGUCCAGGUGCGCCCAUCACGCCACCUCCUGGGUGAGUGCCACUGCCGCAAAGGUACAACCCUUCCACAGGAGUUCUGUAACUCGACCUGUAGAACAACAACCCAAGAUUGGUUCUAGAGUUUGCGAAUAUGGCCCUGACAAAGAAAACAAAAGAUUCACUUGGUACUUACCAUCCUUUUACUGGUCGCAUAAGGAAUAGGGAAUCCAACCCCAUCGCGCCGUGGAAUAUGUUACCUCCUGGGAAGAGAGAUGUGAAGGUAAGAACUACUAGAAUUAGCAGCUAUGAUUUGCGGCACCACAUUGUUGUUUUACCUGUCAAACCAAUUUCUCUUUCGAGGUCAGGUGGUGUCAGCAUGUCGUAGCCAAUUAUUGAAGAGCUAAAGCCAGGUGCGAAUUCAUCAAUCAAGCUGAAGCACCUUUGUGCGAACGAUUCCUGAUCAACCCCGAAAAAGGCAAAGGCAAAGGUUUCAGCUUUGACCAUGCUUUGUGUUUUCACAAAAUGGCACCUGAACCAAAGGACAGAGAGAGUUAUAUAACCUACCCGGUAAGCAGGAUCCGACCAGCUCCCAUCUGAUGGCUUGUAAGGAGUGUACUGUACAAACAAGUUGAUCACAUGUUUACCUACGGACAAACAGUAAAUAGCCCCAGAGAUCAUUGCAGAUUUCAAUAAUCAGGUCAACAUUCUACCACACGUUUGUCCUUGUCUAGGAUUAGUAGUUCAAAAGCAGUGAAGAAUCGCCAAGGAUAAAUUUAUAUAUACCAGGAGGAGAAAUAGUCUUGUCGAGGACAGAAGGAAUUGUCAUCUCGAUAACUGGUCUUCUGGACGGUACUCCAUUUACAGCGUCCUGGCAGGCUGAAUCAAUUUCUUCCAUGCUAAUUAAGGCAGAGAAAGGGCCAAUGUAAAUUGACAGAAGAAGAUAAAUAUUUUACUGACAGAUUAGGAUACAAUUAAAGGCUAAUGGUCUCUGAAAUCAUAUUGCUAAAAGUUUUUUAAGAGAUCACGAUACAAUUAAAGGUAAUGGUCUCUGAAGAUAAACAGAUCAGGCGUAACCAUGAUUCUAGAUCACUACUCUUCAUG